GAUGAACGCUGGCGGCGUGCCUAACACAUGCAAGUCGAACGGAGUCGUUUUGGAAAUCUCUUCGGAGAUGGAAUUCUCGACUUAGUGGCGGACGGGUGAGUAACGCGUGAGCAAUCUGCCUUUAAGAGGGGGAUAACAGUCGGAAACGGCUGCUAAUACCGCAUAAAGCAUUAAAAUUCGCAUGUUUUUGAUGCCAAAGGAGCAAUCCGCUUUUAGAUGAGCUCGCGUCUGAUUAGCUAGUUGGCGGGGUAACGGCCCACCAAGGCGACGAUCAGUAGCCGGACUGAGGGGUUGAACGGCCACAUUGGGACUGAGACACGGCCCAGACUCCUACGGGAGGCAGCAGUGGGGAAUAUUGCGCAAUGGGGGAAACCCUGACGCAGCAACGCCGCGUGAUUGAAGAAGGCCUUCGGGUUGUAAAGAUCUUUAAUCAGGGACGAAACAAAUGACGGUACCUGAAGAAUAAGCUCCGGCUAACUACGUG
rnacentral:rRNA from 1 species